rnacentral:rRNA from 1 species
CAAAAACAUGGCGUUUUGAUAAUAAUUUAAGGUCUGGCCUGCCCAAUGAGUAAUUAAAUGGCCGCGGUAUUUUGACCGUGCAAAGGUAGCAUAAUCAUUAGUUUUUUAAUUGAAAGCUAGAAUGAAUGGUCGGACGAGAAAAUAACUGUCUCAAUGUAAUUUUGUUAGAACUUUAUUUUUAAGUAAAAAAGCUUAAAUGAAUUUAAAAGACGAGAAGACCCUAUAGAGUUUUAUAUGUUAGUAUAUGUUUAUUUUUUAGUAUUUUGAUGUUGAUAUUUAUUUGCGUAUUUUGUUGGGGUGACGGAAAAAUUAGUUAAACUUUUUUUUGAAUUUAAACAUUGAUUUAUGAUUGGUUGAUCCAUUAUUUAUGAUUAUAAGAUUAAAUUACCUUAGGGAUAACAGCGUAAUUUUUUUUGAGAGUUCUUAUCGAUAAAAGAGUUUGCGACCUCGAU